rnacentral:rRNA from 1 species
GUGGGGAAUAUUGGACAAUGGGCGCAAGCCUGAUCCAGCCAUGCCGCGUGAGUGAUGAAGGCCUUAGGGUUGUAAAGCUCUUUUGUCCGGGAAGAUAAUGACUGUACCGGAAGAAUAAGCCCCGGCUAACUUCGUGCCAGCAGCCGCGGUAUUACGAAGGGGGCUAGCGUUGUUCGGAAUCACUGGGCGUAAAGCGCACGUAGGCGGACCAUUAAGUCAGGGGUGAAAGCCUGGAGCUCAACUCCAGAACUGCCUUUGAUACUGAUGGUCUCGAGUAUGGAAGAGGUUGGUGGAACUGCGAGUGUAGAGGUGAAAUUCGUAGAUAUUCGCAAGAACACCGGUGGCGAAGGCGGCCAACUGGUCCAUUACUGACGCUGAGGUGCGAAAGCGUGGGGAGCAAACAGGAUUAGAAACCCGGGUAGUCC